UACAGAGGGUGCGAGCGUUAAUCGGAAUUACUGGGCAUAAAGCGUGCGUAGACGGUAGCGUAAGUCAGAUGUGAAAGCCCCGGGCUCAACCUGGGAAUUGCAUUUGAGACUGCUCUGCUCGGGUGCGGAAGAGGGAAGCGGAAUUUCCGGUGUAGCGGUGAAAUGCGUAGAUAUCGGAAGGAACACCAGUGGCGAAAGCGGCUUCCUGGUCCGCCACCGACGUUCAGGCACGAAAGCGUGGGGAGCAAACAGG
rnacentral:rRNA from 1 species